rnacentral:rRNA from 1 species
GAUGAACGCUGGCGGCGUGCCUAAUACAUGCAAGUCGAGCGAACAGACCAGGAGCUUUCUCCUCUGACUUUAUCGGCGGACGGGUGAUUAACACGUGUAUAACCUACCUAUCAGACUGGGAUAAUUUCGGGAAACCGUGUCUAAUACCCGAUAAUAUAUUGAACCGCAUUGUUCAAUAGUUGAAUACGGUUUUUCUUUCACUAAUAGAUUGCUCCGCGCCGCAUUAGUUAGUUGGUAAAGUAACUGCUUAACAACGCUACGACGCGUAGCCGACCUGAGAGGGAGGUCGGCCACCCGGGAACUGAGAAAGAGUCCAGACUCCGAGGGGAGGACGCAGUCGGGAAUCUUACGGAAUGGGGGAAAGCGUAAUGGAGCAACGCGGCGUGAGUGAUGAAGGAGUAAGGCUGGGAAAACUCUGUAAGUAGGGAGGAAGAAAAGUGCAAGUACCUAGGAAGGUAAUGACGGUACCUGAUCAAAAAGCCACGGCUAACUCCGUG